GUGCUUAACUGGCAGAGAAGAAACCAUGAGCAUGAAGGUUGUUUUCCCAGGGUGAGGCUUACCCCUUGCCCUCUGGACAUGCUGACCCCUGGGAUGUCCCCCAAUGUGUGAAACUCGACUGCAGAAUUUGUGGUAGUAGGAGACUGUGUUCGAGCUUUCCCCUG